CCUCAUCAUGGGAAAUAAGACGAUGACGAUUGGCGGCGCGCAGAUCUUCACGUACUCUGUGCACUUUACUAUCAGUCAAAGGCGUCUUUUUUUUUUUUUUCCCCUCAGGAGGAAAAAUAUCACUGUGUAAAACAAAAAAUGUAUUAUGUGUCCACGAGGGCGGCGGCGGCAAACAUGGCGAGUAUAUAAGACAAGACGCACGACGCACAUGUGGUGGCAGCUGAUACACCAUAAGUAUAAUGGCUGUGCUCUGUAUGUACUGGGGACUAUAAAACCAUCACUGGCACACUGUGACGACAUUUACUGACUCCACCCACUGGAGGGCCCUUUCUAUUAGAGAUAUGGCGGUGGUCCCACCCCUGUGUACCCCUAUAUUAGUCAGGGUAGAAAGCUGGGUGUAAAAAGAAAACCGGGCGGCUUCAGAAAAUUACGUGUUUAACUGGAUGGAAAACGGUCUUAAGAGCCGAACACAGAGAGUGGGGAGAAUGAUCUGGACUCUGAUUGGUCCCCCGUUACUAGUGGUGACCCCAACGUUCAGUACUGAGACCACUAUUGUGUAACGUAUUUAUUCAUAUACAAAGUGGGAAGAACAGCUGUCUAUAUCCUUCCUCUAUCUAUAGAAGAACAGUAAAGUCUAUAGAAAACGUGAAGGAGGAGUAAUAGCCUGCAGCAGCAUAUGUCACCAGGCCCUAGAACAUAGGAUUCCACAGAUUAUUACUCCACCUAGGACAAGGAGGGACUUCUCCUCCUCCUCUCCCACACGGGGGGUGGGGGGGGCUCCCUCCUCCUGGAGAAAAGACAGGUGGCAUACAGGGUCCCGCCAUUGGGAAUGGGCACCUAACACCACAAGGCCGUCCAAAAAUUCUCUGUCGCUUUAAAAAUGUUCAUUCAAUUCCCAUAAAUCAAGAUGAGAACUUAGUCUUAUUAAAACCCAUGGUUGGUGGAGUAAAGUGGACGUAUAUCAUAACGUUGUCUUCUGCCCUAUAAAUUACCAGAACUAAAGUGGGAAUAUAUCAAAAACGAAAAAGCUGCGAGCGUGCGGGUGCAGCGCCAUAUAUUUCAAUGAAUCCAAUUUGUUAUAAUUUAUUUGUUUUAAUAUUUGCUACAUUUUGUAUUAAACGUUCAAUUCCCAAAUUUAUAGGUAUUUUCUGCAUCAUAAAAAAGCGCGCUGCCAUUUGCCGCUUGUGCAAAUCACGAAAAUGCCACCACCGCCACCUCAUCCGCCGCUGUGAACCUCAGACAAGAGUGACAAUUUAUGGCCUUCCUGCGUAAUACUUCACCUAUACAUCCAGGAACAGGACUGCAGCCAUUAGAGGCCUGGGGUAACCCCGCCGAUUAUUUAUGGUCACUUUCCAAAGCCUUGGGAAGUUGUGCGCUCACGGCGCAAUGGUGAACAGUGAGAAAGUCCAGCGAAUCCAUUGUAUUGUGAUGACAGGAAGAUUGGGUUACACCACACGUCAGCUGCCAGCUUGCUGCAGGCACUCAAUUCAUCAUGGUGGGCUGUUGGAUCACAAGCCAGAGAAACUCAGCCUGGCGUGUUAUUUUAGUCUUAGAGGACUGUGAGAUAAACGGGGCACGAACCGGCCCCCUGGCAGGGUGUCGACCCUUGGCGCCCUCAUUAAAGUGUCAAUCAAAAAGAGUAAUGAAAGAAUCCCGGCUCUGUGAACUUCCAUUGUUUUCAAACUGUGAGACUUUUACAAGCCAAAAAUCUCCCGAGCUCCUCAGAGGGUCCCCUCCUCCCGCACACAUUCCCAUCUGAGGUUGUGUCACCACGACAUUCCUCCCGGCUACUCUACAUUGAAGACUUGGAGAUUGGACAGACCCAUUAGAUCCCAUGCCUCACAAGGCCACAGACAGGCACCAAACACCCCAGAUCUCAGGGAACAUGAAGGACCAUUGGUUGGACACAUGGACUGGGGGCAGAUGUACUGGCAGAAGUCUCUACUGAUAAUUUCGGAGUUUCUCCUUUCACACGAUGAUACCAUAACUAUGGAUUUGCAAGCACCAGAGACCACCUGGCGUCCCCAGGUAGGAACCUUUUUGGCACUACAGGAAAUACCACGGGGAUUCGGAUCAGGAUAUUAAGACCUUGAAGAUGUCAUAUUGGAACUUGAUCCACCGUAGAGUGAAAUAUGGUGGAACAAGACCACGUUGGAACAGUAUGUAUCACAACAAUUGAUCCCUAGAGGCCAACGAAUCCAGAUCUUCCCUUCGUACAGUGAGACUGAUGAAGAAUCGAACAGCAGAUGGGAAGAAAUAAGCAAUAAAUCAUCUUCUGCUUUCAUUCAAUUCAUCAUGGAACAGAAUACCAAGACCCUGGAGAGGAUGAUGUCAGACGUAACUAAUAUAGAAACCGAAUUGAAAGAAAAAUUGAAUGCGACUGAUAUGGCGGAUGGACGUGCUAUCUAACAAAUGGGAGAAAGAUACCCAGGAGGCUACGGUUAAGAAGUUCCAUAGAGAUCUACGUGAUUUACAGAACAACCAGGUGUAUAGAUGGAAACAACGGAAAGUGACCAAUCCAGGAGGUAUUACAUCCACUAUGGCGGCAUCAGAAAGUGAGUCCGACACAUCCUGAAUAUCCUCAGAGAGAUCGAUAAGAAAUAUACCUAGAAGGAGAAGGAAUUAUAACCCGAAUGGACGCAGGAGAGACAAGCAGAAGUACAGCCAAUAAGGACACGACUGAUGCCCUCUUGGGGGCAUUCAAUUGGAUCAAGAAGCAUUUAUAGUGACUUGCGACGUGGAGGCGCUAUAUACCUCUAUUCGACACGAGGAUGGCCUCGAAGCAACAAGAUUCUUUCUAUCCAUGACAGACAAUACUCCCGA